UAUUUCACAUAUCUCCCUUCAAGCGCUGACAGCACUUUUUUUCCAAAAAGUGACUGACUUAUAAAUAACACUUUUUUUCUACAUAUAGUACUAGGAAAUCCUCCAGUGUUAUUUGGUAGCACCAUUGUUGUUACGGUAUCAACUCAUAUUUCAAAUGCUCUUUGAUGAAGUGCUCCUUCCUUGCCCUCUAGUUGGAGUAGACUUUGGCUUUUGUGUAUUAGGCUUUGUAGCCACAAAGUAUGAUGUAAGCUGAAAGUACUUUACACCAUACUUUACGCUGUUUUAGUUGGCUGGUUUAAUGAUUGGUAGUUUUGUAUUUCCAGAGUAUUGGAUUGUUGAAAAGUAUUCUUCUACAUGUGUUUUGCAUAGAACACAACUUAGCUUUUUUGAUUCUUGCAGCUUCUCUCUUCAGAAACUUCAGAAACAGAAUAAAUACUGCAGUAGCUCUUUGUUGAAUAUUGGAUCUCAAGAAACUUGUUCUCUUGUUUAUUAAAAGAAUAUUUCAGACUAAAGAGGUGACACUACUACUGACUUGUCUACAACCAAACUUCUGCCAAGGCUGCCAGCAACUUCCACGUACACAGCCAGUUAUUUCCUGCUUUCUAUGGAAAUAAGACAUGCUUAAUCCCACUUUGCUGUUGGAAGCGUUGGCUCCCAAAUGCAA